GUGAAAAUUGGCUUAGAGCUUUGAGCCAGGAAACGGAUAUAGGAUACUUUUUAUACCGUUCAACAGAAUAGCGUGAUAUCCAUAGCUGAUAUAUAGCAUUUACUACAAACCAAUGUAUCGAGUAGUCGUUUCCUAACAUUUCAAUUGGAAACAAUAAAUUAAAUUAAGUGUAGGCAUUUGUCUUUAAGGUGGGACGACGUUUAUUUACAGAACUUAAACAAAGAUAGACAAAAUAUAAUAAGAGAAAGUCCCCUAUUGAUAAAACGCGUGAGGACACGAAGAUCAUUGGCAUCAGCGCAGAACUACAGUGAUUAUGAAAAUAUAGAUAUUGGACCAAUGACGACUAUAUGCCGAUAUUGCAAUGCGUUAAAGUUCAACAGAGAAGCGGCGGGAUUGUGCUGCGCAAAUGAAAAAGUUAAAGUGGCUCCAUUACUUUUUAAAUAAAAAACAAAAAUAAAAAUCACUAAA